UACGAAGGGGGCUAGCGUUGCUCGGAUUUACUGGGCGUAAAGGGCGCGUAGGCGGUCAGCACAAGUCAGUUGUGAAAUCUCCGGGCUUAACUCGGAAAGGUCAACUGAUACUGUGCGACUAGAGUGCAGAAGGGGCAACUGGAAUUCUCGGUGUAGCGGUGAAAUGCGUAGAUAUCGAGAGGAACACCUGCGGCGAAGGCGGGUUGCUGGGCCGACACUGACGCUGAGGCGCGAAAGCCAGGGGGAGCGAACGGGG
rnacentral:rRNA from 1 species